AUUGAACGCUGGCGGCAGGCCUAACACAUGCAAGUCGAGCGAGCGGCGGACGGGUGUGUAAUGUAUGGGGACUGCCCGAUAGAGGGGGAUAACUACUGGAAACGGUGGUUAAUAUCCCAUACUGUUGUAUAACCCCUAUGGGAUUAGCUCGUAGGUAAGGUAAAGGCUUACCUAGGCGACGCUCCCUAGCUGGUCUGAGAGGAUGAUCAGCAACACUGGGACUGAGACACGGCCCAGACUCGUACGGAGGCAGCAGUGGGGAAUAUUGCACAAUGGGCGCAAGCCUGAUGCAGCCAUGCCGCGUGUAUGAAGAAGGCCCUAGGGUUGUAAAGUACUGUCAGUCGGGAGGCGUUACCGGCAGAAGAAGCACCGGCUAACUCCGUGCCAGCAGCCGCGGUAAUUC
rnacentral:rRNA from 1 species